rnacentral:rRNA from 1 species
GGGGGGGGGGGGGGGGGGGCCGAAGACGGGGGGGGCGAGCGGAUGAAGGGAGCUUGCUCCUGGAUUCAGCGGCGGACGGGUGAGUAAUGCCUAGGAAGCUGCCUGGUAGUGGGGGAUAACGUCCGGGAACGGGCGCUAAUACCGCAUACGUCCUGAGGGAGAAAGUGGGGGAUCUUCGGACCUCACGCUCUCAGAUGAGCCUAGGUCGGAUUAGCUAGUUGGUGGGGUAAAGGCCUACCAAGGCGACGAUCCGUAACUGGUCUGAGAGGAUGAUCAGUCACACUGGAACUGAGACACGGUCCAGACUCCUACGGGAGGCAGCAGUGGGGAAUAUUGGACAAUGGGCGAAAGCCUGAUCCAGCCAUGCCGCGUGUGUGAAGAAGGUCUUCGGAUUGUAAAGCACUUUAAGUUGGGAGGAAGGGCAGUAAGUUAAUACCUUGCUGUUUUGACGUUACCAACAGAAUAAGCACCGGCUAACUUCGUG